UGGGGAAUAUUGGGCAAUGGGCGAAAGCCUGACCCAGCAACGCCGCGUGGAGGAUGAAGGUCUUCGGAUUGUAAACUCCUUUUAUCGGGGAAGAGUGAGGACGGUACCCGGUGAAUAAGUCACGGCUAACUACGUGCCAGCAGCCGCGGUAAUACGUAGGUGGCGAGCGUUAUCCGGAAUUACUGGGCGUAAAGGGCACGCAGGCGGCCUUUCAAGUCUGACGUGAAAGCUCCUGGCUUAACUGGGAGAGGUCGUUGGAAACUGAGGGGCUUGAGGCGAUGAGAGGGGUGCGGAAUUCCCGGUGUAGUGGUGGAAUGCGUAGAUAUCGGGAGGAACACCAGUGGCGAAAGCGGCGCCCUAGCAUCGGCCUGACGCUCAUGUGCGAAAGCGUGGGGAGCGAACGGG
rnacentral:rRNA from 2 species